CCUCGAACGCAAGUCUGAACGA
rnacentral:miRNA from 1 species